GGGGACAUAGCCAAGCGGUAAGGCAGGAGACUGCAAAUCUCCCAUCCCCCGGUUCGAAUCCGGGUGUCCCCU
rnacentral:tRNA from 4 species